UACGUAGGGGGCUAGCGUUGUCCGGAAUCAUUGGGCGUAAAGAGCGUGUAGGCGGCCCGGUAAGUCCGCUGUGAAAGUCGGGGGCUCAACCCUCGAAUGCCGGUGGAAACUGUCGGGCUCGAGUGCGGAAGAGGCGAGUGGAAUUCCUGGUGUAGCGGUGAAAUGCGCAGAUAUCAGGAGGAACACCGAUUGCGAAGGCAGCUCGCUGGGACGCGACUGACGCUGAGACGCGAAGCGUGGGGAGCAAACAGG
rnacentral:rRNA from 1 species